rnacentral:rRNA from 1 species
AGAGUUUGAUUCUGGCUCAGAACGAACGCUGGCGGCGUGGAUAAGACAUGCAAGUCGUGCGGGGGUCUGUGGGUAGCAAUAUUCGCAGACUCUAGCGGCGAAAGGGUGCGUAACACGUGGGCAAUCUACCGUGAAGUUUGGAAUAACCCCGAGAAAUCGGGAUUAAUACCGGAUGUGAAUGUUUGAGGACAUCCUCGUUCAUUUAAAGCUGGGGACCGCAAGGCCUAGCGCUUCAUGAUGAGCCCGCGGCCUAUCAGCUUGUUGGUGAGGUAACGGCUCACCAAGGCAACGACGGGUAGCUGGUCUGAGAGGACGAUCAGCCACACUGGAACUGAGACACGGUCCAGACACCUACGGGUGGCAGCAGUCGAGAAUCUUUCACAAUGGGCGCAAGCCUGAUGGAGCGACGCCGCGUGGGGGAUGAAUGGCUUCGGUCCGUAAACCCCUGUCAUUUGUGAGCAAAGUUGUCGGCCUAAUAUGUUGACAACCUGAUAAUAGCGAAAGAGGAAGGGACGGCUAACUCUGUGCCAGCAGCCGCGGUAAUACAGAGGUCCCAAGCGUUGUUCGGAUUCGCUGGGCGUAAAGAGUGCGUAGGUGGUAAGGUAAGUUUGGUGUGAAAGCUCCGGGCUCAACCUGGAAAGGUCAUCGAAUACUAUCUUACUAGAGGAUCGGAGGGGAGACUGGAAUUCUCGGUGUAGCAGUGAAAUGCGUAGAUAUCGAGAGGAACACCAGUGGCGAAGGCGAGUCUCUGGACGAUUCCUGACACUGAGGCACGAAAGCUAGGGGAGCAAACAGGAUUAGAUACCCUGGUAGUCCUAGCCGUAAACGGUGCACGUUUGCUGUGGGAAAUCGACCCCGUCCGUGGCGUAGCUAACGCGUUAAACGUGCCGCCUGGGGAGUACGGUCGCAAGAUUAAAACUCAAAGAAAUUGACGGGGGCCUGCACAAGCGGUGGAGUAUGUGGCUUAAUUCGAUCAACGCGAAGAACCUUACCUGGCCUUGACAUGCAAGUAGUAGAGACCUGAAAGGGUAACGACCCCGCAAGGGGAGCUUGCACAGGUGCUGCAUGGCUGUCGUCAGCUCGUGUCGUGAGAUGUUGGGUUAAGUCCCGCAACGAGCGCAACCCUCGUGUCCUGUUGCCACUUCUGCGAGAGCAGAAAGCACUCUGGACAGACUGCCUCGCUUAAACGGGGAGGAAGGUGGGGAUGACGUCAAGUCAGUAUGGCCCUUACGGCCAGGGCUGCACACGUACUACAAUGCCUGGUACAAUGGGAAGCAAGACCGCAAGGUGGAGCAAAUCCUUAAAACCGGGCUCAGUUCGGAUUGUCGUCUGCAACUCGACGGCAUGAAGUC